rnacentral:rRNA from 1 species
GUAGCACAGAGAGCUUGCUCUCGGGUGACGAGCGGCGGACGGGUGAGUAAUGUCUGGGAAACUGCCUGAUGGAGGGGGAUAACUACUGGAAACGGUAGCUAAUACCGCAUAAUGUCGCAAGACCAAAGUGGGGGACCUUCGGGCCUCAUGCCAUCAGAUGUGCCCAGAUGGGAUUAGCUAGUAGGUGGGGUAACGGCUCACCUAGGCGACGAUCCCUAGCUGGUCUGAGAGGAUGACCAGCCACACUGGAACUGAGACACGGUCCAGACUCCUACGGGAGGCAGCAGUGGGGAAUAUUGCACAAUGGGCGCAAGCCUGAUGCAGCCAUGCCGCGUGUGUGAAGAAGGCCUUCGGGUUGUAAAGCACUUUCAGCGGGGAGGAAGGCGGUGAGGUUAAUAACCUUGGCGAUUGACGUUACCCGCAGAAGAAGCACCGGCUAACUCCGUGCCAGCAGCCGCGGUAAUACGGAGGGUGCAAGCGUUAAUCGGAAUUACUGGGCGUAAAG